rnacentral:rRNA from 1 species
UUUGUAGAAUGAACCGGCGAGUUACGAUUUGUUGCAAGGUUAAGCGGAAAAAGCGGAGCCGUAGCGAAAGCGAGUCUGAAUAGGGCGCAUAAGUAACAGGUCGUAGACCCGAAACCAGGUGAUCUACCCAUGUCCAGGAUGAAGGUAAGGUAAUACUUACUGGAGGUCCGAACCCACGCACGUUGAAAAGUGCGGGGAUGAGGUGUGGGUAGCGGAGAAAUUCCAAUCGAACUUGGAGAUAGCUGGUUCUCUCCGAAAUAGCUUUAGGGCUAGCCUCGAGGUAAAGAGUCAUGGAGGUAGAGCACUGUUUGGACUAGGGGCCCUUCUCGGGUUACCGAAUUCAGAUAAACUCCGAAUGCCAUGUACUUAUACUCGGGAGUCAGACUGCGAGUGAUAAGAUCCGUAGUCGAAAGGGAAACAGCCCAGACCACCAGUUAAGGUCCCCAAAUAUAUGUUAAGUGGAAAAGGAUGUGGGGUUGCUUAGACAACCAGGAUGUUGGCUUAGAAGCAGCCACCAUUGAAAGAGUGCGUAAUAGCUCACUGGUCGAGUGACCCCGCGCCGAAAAUGUACCGGGGCUAAACAUAUUACCGAAACUGUGGAUGAACCUCUUUAGAGGUUCGUGGUAGGAGAGCGUUCUAAGGGCGGUGAAGUCAGACCGGAAGGACUGGUGGAGCGCUUAGAAGUGAGAAUGCCGGUAUGAGUAGCGAAA